rnacentral:misc_RNA from 1 species
AACAAAGUUAUCAGUCUUCAGGUUGUCACAUCAGCACCAUGGGGUUGGGAAUUGGGUGGUGAUUACUUUGUGGAUGUGGGUAAAAGUGAUGGUGAAGGCAUAUGUUGAAAGCUUAAGAGAAUAUCAGUUACAGCUCAGAAUUGGUUCAAGUGAGGGGGAGAGGUAACUUUGAUUUGCUGAAUAUGCAAGUCCGGCAGCAACUUGUCAUUUGCUAUUUAAUGAUCUCUGUCAUGGUUGAGACAUCUCAUGCUGUUCUGGUGGUAAUCUCUAAGGUUGUUGAAGUAGAUUACUAGUGAUUGGUUGAAGUUUAGUGACACUUGAAGAUGAAACA